rnacentral:rRNA from 1 species
AUUGAACGCUGGCGGCAUGCCUUACACAUGCAAGUCGAACGGCAGCACGGGUGCUUGCAUCUGGUGGCGAGUGGCGAACGGGUGAGUAAUACAUCGGAACUUGUCCUGUAGUGGGGGUUAGCCCGUCGAAAGCCGGAUUAAUACCGCAUACGAUCUACGGAUGAAAGCGGGGGACCUUCGGGCCUCGCGCUUUAGUGUUGGCCGUUGGCUUAUUAGCUAGUUGGUGGGGUAAAGGCCUACCAAGGCGACGAUCAGUAGCUGGUCUGAGAGGACGAACAGCCACACUGGGACUGAGACACGGCCCAGACUCCUACGGGAGGCAGCAGUGGGGAAUGUUGGACAAUGGGCGAAAGCCUGAUCCAGCAAUGCAGCGUGUGUGAAGAAGGCCUUCGGGUUGUAAAGCACUUUUGUCCGGAAAGAAAUCCUUGGCUAUAAUACAGGCGGGGGAUGACGGUACCGGAAGAAUAAGCACCGGCUAACUACGUG